CGGGGCACUGCUAAAAAUCCCACCAUACACAGGACAGCUCCCCACCACGUGGACCUAUCCAGCCUCCAAAUAUUAACAGGGCGUCUUGGGACCACCAGCGUGCUGCCAGGGAGCCAACUUCUGCCUGGUCAGCUAACUCCACCGUCCCAGAGCCUGGGGAAUAGCGAGGAGCGGCUGGAGACUGGCGCAUGAGAUCACCUCUCAUGGCGCGACGCUGCCUGAUCAGAAAGCCGCCGCUAACAGCUGGAGAACAUCCCUGCCCGUGUCUCAGCGCAAAUACACACCAAUAAAUCCAUG
rnacentral:lncRNA from 10 species